AAUUUGGGACAAUGGGGGAAACCCUGAUACAGCCAUCCCGCGUGUAUGAUGAAGGNCUNNGGGUUNUNAAGUACUUUUGGCAGNNNNNGAAAGGUAUCCCCUAAUACGGGAUACUGCUGACGGUAUCUGCAGAAUAAGCACCGGAUACCUACGUGCCAGCCGCCGCGGUAAUACGUAGGGUGCAAGCGGUAAUCGGAGUUACUGGGCGUAAAGCGUGUAUAGUCGGUUCGGAAAGAAAGAUGUGACAUCCCAGGGCUCAACCUUGGAACUGCAUUUUUAACUGCCGAGAUAGAGGAUGUCAGAGGAGGGUAGAAUUCCACGUGUAGCAGUGAAAUGCGUAGAUAUGUGGAGGAAUACCGAUGGCGAAGGCAGCCCCCUGCGAUAAUACCGACGCUCAGACACGAAAGCGUGGGGAGCAAACAG
rnacentral:rRNA from 1 species